CUGCCAGCCACUAUCAGGGCCAAGUAUCUGCAAGCAAGGGAAAUCCAGUUAAAAAAAAAAAAAAAGCAGCUUCAAGGUGAUAGCACUCAGAAUUAAUCCCAUUUGUGCACAACUGGAUUUUUAUUUUAAAUAUUAUAAAAAAUCAAUCUAUAAUUUAUGAUGUAUUAAGAGCUAGAAACAAAAACAAGCACAGGAAAAGAGACCGUAGAUAAGUUAGCAGGUAAGAUGAUUUAGUCAAUAAAUUUAGAAAAUCAUAACACAUAA